rnacentral:rRNA from 1 species
UACAGAGGGUGCAAGCGUUGUCCGGAAUUACUGGGCGUAAAGGGCGCGUAGGCGGUCAGCACAAGUCAGUUGUGAAAUCUCCGGGCUUAACUCGGAAAGGUCAACUGAUACUGUGCGACUAGAGUGCAGAAGGGGCAACUGGAAUUCUUGGUGUAGCGGUGAAAUGCGUAGAUAUCAAGAGGAACACCUGCGGCGAAGGCGGGUUGCUGGGCUGACACUGACGCUGAUGCGCGAAAGCCAGGGGAGCGAACGGG